rnacentral:rRNA from 1 species
AUUGAACGCUGGAGGCAGGCCUAACACAUGCAAGUCGAGCGGAUGAAGGGAGCUUGCUCCUGGAUUCAGCGGCGGACGGGUGAGUAAUGCCUAGGAAUCUGCCUGGUAGUGGGGGAUAACGUCCGGAAACGGGCGCUAAUACCGCAUACGUCCUGAGGGAGAAAGUGGGGGAUCUUCGGACCUCACGCUAUCAGAUGAGCCUAGGUCGGAUUAGCUAGUUGGUGGGGUAAAGGCCUACCAAGGCGACGAUCCGUAACUGGUCUGAGAGGAUGAUCAGUCACACUGGAACUGAGACACGGUCCAGACUCCUACGGGAGGCAGCAGUGGGGAAUAUUGGACAAUGGGCGAAAGCCUGAUCCAGCCAUGCCGCGUGUGUGAAGAAGGUCUUCGGAUUGUAAAGCACUUUAAGUUGGGAGGAAGGGCAGUAAGUUAAUACCUUGCUGUUUUGACGUUACCAACAGAAUAAGCACCGGCUAACUUCGUG